rnacentral:rRNA from 1 species
GACUCGGUUGGGCGGUCCGCUUAACGGCGUGUACUGUCUGACUGGGCCUUACCUCUUGGUGAGCCAGUGUGCCCUUUAUUGGUGUGCAUUGGGGAACCAGGACUUUUACUUUGAAAAAAUUAGAGUGUUUAAAGCAGGCUAACGUCUGAAUACAUUAGCAUGGAAUAAUGAAAUAGGACU